rnacentral:tRNA from 2 species
GCGGAAGUAGCUCAGCUGGUAGAGCAUCACCUUGCCAAGGUGGGGGUCGCGGGUUCGAACCCCGUCUUCCGCUCCA